UUAUUUUUUGAAAAAGUCAAAGUUCUGUCGAGACAGCGACGGGUACUCUACCCCUGUGGGAUGAAGCGACAGAGGUUUUGAGAAUUCACGAUGAGACGAGCCGUUCCAAGAAAUUAUAUCUUCUACUAAGACAUUUACCGAGGAAGUAGAAGUCCUUUUGAAAGAAGCUAUUCAGGAACAAAUGGAUCGAAAAUAAUAUUCCAAAGCUUUCGUAUGUUUUCCAUUACUUGUAUGGAUAAGACAGGAAUUCUCUACAAUGACACUGUAGAACAAUUGAAGGGAUGUGGUGCAGCCUGGUAACGCAUUUGUUUUGGGUACAAAAUGUCACGGGUUCCUUCCGAAAUACCCCAUACGAAAUACAAAGAUAAAAAAAGAAUAAAUUUUUUUGCUAGAUCCCUUAUUUCCCUGGGAUUGUAUCUCUUGUUUUUCAUUCCCAUUCCCAAAAGAAUGAAUACUAUGAUUCGCAUUUCGAACAGGCAUGAAUACAACAUCUAUAGGAUAACUUCUAUCUUGAAAGUCAUGUGGCACUUUGAUAAGUAAUGUAUUUAGUUUAAAGCCCUACGUGCUCUACUUCUGGAAGAUCUGCGAAUCCCUCCUGCUUAUAUUAAAACUUUCCAAGGCCUACCUUAUGGGAUCCAAUGAGCACUCUCAAUAUUAUGCCUUCAAGAGGACUCCAUUUUUUUAUAAUUUUAGAAUAAAGAUUGUAUUCUUGAACAACUUUCUGUUUAAAGUCUAAUUUUAGAUAGAAUGUGAUUCUGAUAGAUUCUAUUUUUAUCUUUCUUCAAUGGAAGGUAAGGGUCAAUUUUAUUGUAGAGCUGUAUGCAAUGCACCACGACGUGCAUUUUGUGUCAUUGCUCAUCGACCUACUUCGAUUUGUCUAGAUGUGAUCCAAGUAGGUUCAAGUGCCUGAAGAGCAUAUUUACCGAAACAAAUAUGAUUACCUCGAUAAGAUAUUCCCUUCAUUCUUUCUCUAUGUUAUUUACAAAAUCUAGUUCUUUUGGGGUUAUAGUUGAUGGUUGUUUCACAAUUCUAUCUUAAACCCAUGUUUGAAUUGAAACUGAGAUACUGAUGCAAGUUCUUCCCUUCUGAAUCAGAUAGAUUCAUAUCUGAAAGAGGUUGACAAUAUGUUCUAUCAAAAUUGACUAUUUGUCCCUUUGUUAGAGGUGUUCUAGAAAUGUCUGCUUGGAUUGGUAUUAGUCUAGAUACGGCAAAAUCAUUCUAUUAGAUCGAAUAAGAGGAUUAGCUGCCAAGGGGAUCUAUCCAAUAGUAGAUCCUUUAGAUUCAACAUCAACCAUGCUUCAACCUCGGAUGGAAUCCAACUGUUUAAUUAAAACAAGUAAUGCGAUGUCCCAACGGAUCCUCAUGCAAUGUGAUUUCUACCCAAUGCUCUGAAUGUCAAAGUUAAGAAAUUCAACCAAGUGCAUGUAAACAGUGGGAGUAACUAUGACUCUCUUAAGAUAGACAAAUGCUUCGUCAUCUAAUUAGUGACGCGCAUGAAUGGACUAACGAGAUUCCCAAUAUCCCUGUCUACUAUCCAGCGAAACCACAGCCAAGGAAAUGGGCUUGGUAGAAUCAGCGAGGAAAGAAGACCCUAUUGAGCUUGACUCUAGUCCGACUUUGUGAAAUGAGUUAAGAGGUGUGGGAUAGGUGGGAGCCGAAAGGCGAAAGUGAAAUACCACAACUUUUAACGUUAUUUUACUUAUUUCAUGAAUCGGAGGUAGGUCACUACCCCUCUUUUUGGAUCCAAGGCUCGCUUUGCAGGCUGAUCUAUGCAGAAGACAUUGUCAAGUAGGGAGUUUGGCUGGGGCUGCACAUCUGUUAAAAGAUAAUGCAGGUGUCCUAAGAUGAGCUCAACGAGAACAUAAAUUUCAUGUGGAAUAGAAUGGUAAAAGCUCGUUCGAUUCUGAUUUUACAACACAGAUACGAACCGUAAAAGUGUGGCCUAACGAUCUUUUAGACCUUUGGAAUUUGAAGCUAGAGGUGUCAGAAAAGUUACCAUGAGGAUAACUGGCUUGUGGUAUCCAAGCAUUUAUAGCGAUGUUGCUUUUUGAUCCUUCGAUGUUGGCUCUUCCUAUCAUUGUGAAGCAAAAUUCACCAAGUGUUGGAUUGUUCACCCACUAAUAGAGAACGUGAGCUGGGUUUAGACAAUCAUGACACAGGUUAGUUUUACCCUACUUAUGACAGUGUCAUAAUAGUAAUUCAACCUAGUGCGAGAGAAACCGUUGAUUUGCACAAUUGGUCAUCUUGCUUGGUUGAAAAGCCAGUGGUGUGAAGCUAUCGUGCUUGGAUUAUAACUAAAUGCCUCUAAGUUAAAAUUCGGGCUAGAAACGAUGUGUGCACCCGUCGUUUCCUUGCCGACCCGCAGUAGAGGCCUUACGGCCCCCAGGGGCACAUGUCGUUGGCUAAACCCUUGCAGCGGAUGUGCUGCAUUGGCUGCCUUAAAGUACAAUUUCCAUCGAGCGACAGAUAGAAUCCUUUACAGAUGACUUAAAUACACGACGGGGUAUUGUAAGCGGCAGAGUGGGCUUGCUGCCACAAUCCGCUGAGAUUCAGCCCUUUGUCACUCAGAUUCAUCCCUCCCCUUCUG
rnacentral:rRNA from 1 species